rnacentral:rRNA from 1 species
CCUGACGACCAUAGCGAGCGUGAACCACCCGAUCCCAUGCCGAACUCGGAAGUGAAACCGCUUAGCGCCGAUGGUAGUGUGGAG